rnacentral:piRNA from 1 species
AAAAAAUUAAAAGAUGGACUGGA